UUUUCUGAUGUACCAACUCCCUAAUCAUGUUUUUGUCUUUCGGGUUGGUAUGUUAGGAGAACCUAGGCGUGCUAUGUGGGGAAGCAAAGCAGCAGCUCACAACUCCGGCCUGCAACUCCAGAUGAAGGCACCGCGACGACGCAUCAUGCUACUCCCUUGGAAGGUCGGCUCCUGGACCGUAACUUUCUCUCAACUUGUGCUCUGCUUGAUACCAGUUCCUUGUAUUUCUCCCAACUUGUGCAAAUUGUAAUAUGCAAGGCUUCCUAGUCCGUGGCCUACCUUCUGGAUGGAGCAAGGAGGGGGCAUCAUCCACACCGCGGAGCUGGUUGAGCCUUAGUGCGAACUGGAGAAGCAGGGCAUCGUCGGGGACAUCUCUCGCUUGUGCCAUGGUAAGAACAGAGCGCCACUCUCCGUCGUGCAUGUAUUGAAAUCCUGAAAUGUCAAAUACAUGUUCGCUCUCAGCUGGGAUAUUGGAUUGUACUUAGUUAUGUAACUCAUUCAUGUUUGCGCUGCUUGUUACGUGAUUACCUUUAUGUACUUGCUACCAGUAGGAUGGUCAAUACAUGCUUGUUUUGUAUCUAUUCCAGAAUAGUUUGCUUGGUCACCUGAUGCUUGAUGCAUGUAUAAUGUGACACACACAUCAGGAAAUCUGAAUAACUUUGACAUAGUUGUUCUGUUAUCUUGCACUGGGUUGAUACUUGUCAUUUUCCGUUCCCAAAUAUAUCUUAGUCUUGCUGUUACGAGAAUGCUAUAUGCAUGGUUUCUUAUUAGAUCUCAAAUUCUGCAGCUAUUUUUCAUUGUUAGGAGAAUGUUAUAUGCAUGGCUUCACUUGAUUAUAUUCCUAACUUUUCUGAUUUAUAACUCAUAGAUUUUGGCCUUCAUUCGUC
rnacentral:lncRNA from 1 species